GGAGGGUGCAAGCGUUGUUCGGAAUUAUUGGGCGUAAAGAGCGUGUAGGCGGUCCGGUAAGUCAGAUGUGAAAGCCCUGGGCUCAACCCAGGAAGUGCAUUUGAAACUACCAGACUUGAGUACGGGAGAGGAGGGGGAAUUCCCGGUGUAGAGGUGAAAUUCGUAGAUAUCGGGAGGAAUACCAGUGGCGAAGGCGCCCCUCUGGACCGAUACUGACGCUGAGACGCGAAAGCGUGGGGAGCAAACAGGAUUAGAUACCCUGGUAGUCCACGCCGUAAACGAUGAGCACUAGGUGUAGCGGGUAUUGACCCCCUGCUGUGCCGUAGCUAACGCAUUAAGUGCUCCGCCUGGGGACUACGGUCGCAAGACUA
rnacentral:rRNA from 1 species